rnacentral:rRNA from 1 species
AACGAACGCUGGCGGCAUGCCUAACACAUGCAAGUCGAACGAGACCUUCGGGUCUAGUGGCGCACGGGUGCGUAACGCGUGGGAACCUGCCUUUAGGUUCGGAAUAACUCAGAGAAAUUUGAGCUAAUACCGGAUGAUGUCUUCGGACCAAAGAUUUAUCGCCUUUAGAUGGGCCCGCGUUGGAUUAGCUAGUUGGUGGGGUAAAGGCCUACCAAGGCGACGAUCCAUAGCUGGUCUGAGAGGAUGAUCAGCCAUACUGGGACUGAGACACGGCCCAGACUCCUACGGGAGGCAGCAGUGGGGAAUAUUGGACAAUGGGCGAAAGCCUGAUCCAGCAAUGCCGCGUGAGUGAUGAAGGCCUUAGGGUUGUAAAGCUCUUUUACCCGAGAUGAUAAUGACAGUAUCGGGAGAAUAAGCUCCGGCUAACUCCGUG